rnacentral:rRNA from 1 species
AAGCUCGUAGUUGAAUUUCGGGAUCAAUUUAUUGGUCGUGCUAUUGUACGUACUGGUAUUAUUGAUUCCUACCUUCUGACGAACCAUGAUGUCAUUAAUUUGGUGUCAUGGGGAAUCAGGACUGUUACUUUGAAAAAAUUAGAGUGUUUAAAGCAGGCUCACGCUUGAAUACAUUAGCAUGGAAUAACGAAAUAGGACGUUUGAUUCUAUUUUGUUGGUUUCUAGGAUCGACGUAAUGAUUAAUAGGGAUAGUUGGGGGCAUUAGUAUUCAAUUGUCAGAGGUGAAAUUCUUGGAUUUAUUGAAGACUAACUACUGCGAAAGCAUUUGCCAAGGAUGUUUUCAUUAAUCAAGAACGAAAGUUAGGGGAUCGAAGACGAUCAGAUACCGUCGUAGUCUUAACCAUAAACUAUGCCGACUAGGGAUCGGAUGAUGUUAAUUUUUUAAUGACUCAUUCGGCACCU